rnacentral:lncRNA from 1 species
GAGGCCAAGGGAUUGGGGCCUUGAGGAGGUCCAGUAGAUUUGGAUCUUGAGUGGGCUAAUCCAUAUUUGGACUAGGUUUGAGUCCAAGAAGAUGAGCGCAUAUCGAAUCAUGGGUGUACAUGGACUUGGAUUGAGUACAAUCACAUUGGAUUAGCCAUGAAAAUUUUUAGACUAGGAUUUGAUCUAUCUAUAUAGGUAUAUAUAUAC